CUGUUCUUGUGGCUGAGGUAGUAGAUUGAAUAGUUGUGGGGCCGAGUCCUCCCUCUGCGUUAACUAUACAAUCUACUGUCUUUCCUAAGGAGGCAGAGGAUUCACC
rnacentral:tRNA from 10 species